AACCAGCAACCCUCUCUAAAUGUAUUACACACAUACUCUGAUCUUAUAUAACAAUUGCUAAAAAUUGCUUGAAAUUGUCAAAACGCCUAUUAGUGGGGAAGUUCCUAUCUUUCAAAAGUGAUAGUGAUGAUAAUUUAGGCAUCAAGGAGAUGGGAGAAUCCUUACUAUAGUUUUGCCCAGAAAGGAAGAAUGACACGUCAAAAAGAGAGAAUUUUUUGUAAAGGGUAGUUGUCCCC
rnacentral:lncRNA from 1 species